rnacentral:lncRNA from 1 species
AGCUUAUAUGGCUCAUGAUGAUCUAACCAAGGUAAUUGGAUCCUUUGCUGGACCCCACAUGCAGAAAAAGCCUCAAGCCUCUUGAGGCUUCGAGAUUGAAGGUAGCUCGACAUCCAAAAGAGGAUGAAAAGUUCCACGAGGCUUUCCAGAAUAUGAUAGUCCUAUCGGCAUAGAGACUUAAGGAUACCUGAGCUGACGCUUUACCUCACCAGGCAACAUGAUGCUCCUUGCCCACGGAC